GAUGAAGAACGUAGCGAAAUGCGAUACGUAAUGUGAAUUGCAGAUUUCAGUGAAUCAUCGAAUCUUUGAACGCACAUUACGCCCGCCAGUAUUCUGGCGGGCAUGCCUGUUCGAGCGUCAUUUCAACCAUCAAGCCUUCGCUUGUGUUGGGGCCCCGCGGCUGCCGCGGUCCCCUAAAUCCAGUGGCGGGCUCGUCGUCGUACCGAGCGCAGUAGACAUCCUCGCUCCGGGAACCCGACGGGUGCCGGCCGUGAAACCCCCCACAUCAAGGUUGACCUCGGAUCAGGUAGGAAUACCCGCUGAACUUAAGCAUAUCAAUAAGCGGAGGA
rnacentral:misc_RNA from 1 species